rnacentral:piRNA from 1 species
UAAAUGAAUUCCUUUAACAUC